CUUCAACGUGAACAGGUGUGCCUGUGUAUAUUUUGUGUUGUACAAAGGGCUGCAACCACACCUCUCCAUCGGACCCAGUAUUGAGCGUCUCUCUUUAUUUACACCCACCCUCAUUCCAACAAGAAAUGAAGCUUUGGUUUUUCCUUAUUCUCCUUAUGGUUGCCUAUGCCAAUGCAUGUAAUAGAAGCGAAAGAAUCUUAUGUUAUAAUAAUCCAAAUGCUUGCCCCAGUGGGAUGAAAUGCCAACGGACUCGUUUUGCCGGUUCUGAUUAUUGCAUAUCCGCAAAUUAGCCUUUGACACAUCCCAAAUUUUAAUUCUUAUCAUAAAAAAAAAUAUCCUCAAUCUACUGAUUAACUAAAAUACGACCCUCUCACUAUUAUUUUAACAUUCUGUUUUGCCAAUCCCGAUAAAUGUUUUUUUCUGUUUGAAAAUGUAAUAAAAAAAUGAAA